AUUGAACGCUGGCGGCAGGCCUAACACAUGCAAGUCGAGCGCGAAAGUUCUUCGGAAUGAGUAAAGCGGCGGACGGGUGAGUAAUACAUGGGAAUCUGCCUGGUAGUGGGGGACAACGUUUCGAAAGGAACGCUAAUACCGCAUACGCCCUACGGGGGAAAGGGGGGGAUCUUCGGACCUCUCGCUAUCAGAUGACGCCC
rnacentral:rRNA from 1 species